GUGUCGUGAAAGACUUGAGUAGUGAGACGCUCAUUUGCUCACGGUUUCGGCGCCUCAUACUGAGUCUUUCGUGAUGUG
rfam:Opisthorchis viverrini opera_v5_48.42, whole genome shotgun sequence.